CUGUAGGCACCCAAACCACUUCAGCUCAUUUAAGUGGUCUGGGUGCAGUGUCCAUUUUGCACCUGGUGCUGCAAUGUAAAAUAUUGUAGUUCCAAAUAAACUCUAAUGUUUACAUUGCAGCUCUAAGUCUGCCCUCAGUGGCUGACUACCAGACAGCCAUUAGAGGGUUUCCUGAAUUAAAAUGGACCUGCACAAGGACCUCC